UGAAGGUGGAAUGGAAAAUGAGU
rnacentral:piRNA from 1 species